CACCGCGGCGGGAACCGCCACCCCUGCCUGAAGCGGGGAGCCAUGUUCAUACCCGUUCCCGCCAGAAAACGGCGCCACUAUUCCAAGCAUCCCCUCAGGGGGCAAAGAGCCGAACUGCCCGGAGCCGGGCACUCCCACCCGCUCCCAUCAUCAAAGCACUAUGGCUGCCCGGAGAUAAAAUGUAUGUGGCCUGGGUGCAAGAUCACGUCAUUAUGCCACAUCUGUCAUGUGGAGUGUGUGAGCAGCAUGUACCAUAUUAUGCAAGGCUGCAUUAUGAAGACUAGACUACGUGGUGGGAGUUGUGCUGAUAGCAAGUGGGGGAAGGUUGUGCUGCCCCUUUACUCAGUACCGGUAGGUUUGGAGUGCUGUGACCAUUUCUGGGCUCCCCAGUGCAAGAC
ensembl:lncRNA